rnacentral:rRNA from 1 species
AUGAACGCUAGCGACAGGCUUAACACAUGCAAGUCGAGGGGCAGCACAGGUAGCAAUACCGGGUGGCGACCGGCGCACGGGUGAGUAACGCGUAUGCAACUUGCCUAUCAGAGGGGGAUAACCCGGCGAAAGUCGGACUAAUACCGCAUGAAGCAGGGGCCCCGCAUGGGGAUAUUUGCUAAAGAUUCAUCGCUGAUAGAUAGGCAUGCGUUCCAUUAGGCAGUUGGCGGGGUAACGGCCCACCAAACCGACGAUGGAUAGGGGUUCUGAGAGGAAGGUCCCCCACAUUGGUACUGAGACACGGACCAAACUCCUACGGGAGGCAGCAGUGAGGAAUAUUGGUCAAUGGGCGUAAGCCUGAACCAGCCAAGUCGCGUGAGGGAUGAAGGUUCUAUGGAUCGUAAACCUCUUUUAUAAGGGAAUAAAGUGCGGGACGUGUCCCGUUUUGUAUGUACCUUAUGAAUAAGGAUCGGCUAACUCCGUGCCAGCAGCCGCGGUAAUACGGAGGAUCCGAGCGUUAUCCGGAUUUAUUGGGUUUAAAGGGUGCGUAGGCGGCCUUUUAAGUCAGCGGUGAAAGUCUGUGGCUCAACCAUAGAAUUGCCGUUGAAACUGGGGGGCUUGAGUAUGUUUGAGGCAGGCGGAAUGCGUGGUGUAGCGGUGAAAUGCAUAGAUAUCACGCAGAACCCCGAUUGCGAAGGCAGCCUGCCAAGCCAUUACUGACGCUGAUGCACGAAAGCGUGGGGAUCAAACAGGAUUAGAUACCCUGGUAGUCCACGCAGUAAACGAUGAUCACUAGCUGUUUGCGAUACACUGUAAGCGGCACAGCGAAAGCGUUAAGUGAUCCACCUGGGGAGUACGCCGGCAACGGUGAAACUCAAAGGAAUUGACGGGGGCCCGCACAGGCGGAGGAACAUGUGGUUUAAUUCGAUGAUACGCGAGGAACCUUACCCGGGUUUGAACGCAUUCGGACCGAGGUGGAAACACCUUUUCUAGCAAUAGCCGUUUGCGAGGUGCUGCAUGGUUGUCGUCAGCUCGUGCCGUGAGGUGUCGGCUUAAGUGCCAUAACGAGCGCAACCCUUGCCACUAGUUACUAACAGGUGAUGCUGAGGACUCUGGUGGGACUGCCAGCGUAAGCUGCGAGGAAGGCGGGGAUGACGUCAAAUCAGCACGGCCCUUACAUCCGGGGCGACACACGUGUUACAAUGGCGUGGACAAAGGGAGGCCACCUGGCGACAGGGAGCGAAUCCCCAAACCACGUCUCAGUUCGGAUCGGAGUCUGCAACCCGACUCCGUGAAGCUGGAUUCGCUAGUAAUCGCGCAUCAGCCAUGGCGCGGUGAAUACGUUCCCGGGCCUUGUACACACCGCCCGUCAAGCCAUGGGAGCCGGGGGUACCUGAAGUCCGUAACCGAAAGGAUCGGCCUAGGGUAAAACUGGUGACUGGGGCU